GACACACACACAUUUGCACAUACAAGCCUGCAGACAUAUACAUGCAAACACACAAAUAUGUAUGUACAACAGAAGCACAAAUGUACAUACAUGCGUGUACACACAUUCACCUGCAUAAAGCACGCACACUUGCACAUGCAAGCACAUGUACACGCACACACACAGGCACACACACACACACACACACACACACACACACACAUACUGAGGCACAUCAGGUGAACAGAAAUAGUCAUUUGUUGCAUCCUCUCAGGCUGUGGGAAACCCUGAGAGUUACAGAGUUUCACGUCUGUAACUUUUUUGCUUCAUGUUCAUGGGCUCCAAGAGAGCAGAGAGGCUAGGCAUCCUGUCUGAGACCACACAGCUGCAGUUGUCCAUAAACCUGCAGGCGUGGCAAAGUGGGGCACACACCAUUCAUGUUGGUGCAGUGGGGGCUCCCUUCCCGGAAAGGGACCCUCUGAAAGGUUUUGCACGUCUCUCUCUUGGGACACUGGGCCUGGAGAGAAGCUGCGAUUGGCUCAUCCUUGCUUGACCACUCUGUUCUCAUCUCGGGCAGUGGCUCCAGACAGUCCAGCGUGUCCUCUGAUGUGUCUGUCUCACAUCUUUCCAUAUGUUCCCUAGAUUGGUACCAGCAGAUGUCAAAGGCUCUUCAGGGUACUGCGGCCACCUACAUUGUACUUGUUUGGCAGAGUCCUGCUGGUCAGCUCUUCUGGGAAAUCCACUGCAGGAAGGCAUCAGUGACCGGGGACCCUUGAGCCUUUGUCAAGCCUGCAGUUUGCUGGGGCAGCAAAACCUGUGCUGGAGUAUGCACACAAAGGCUGGGCCGCAUCCUUAGUUGAGACGUCAGCGGCUGACCCCUGCUGUCCUCUGCGGAGCCCUUCGCUGUCCGUCCUGGUUAACCAGCGCCCUCUACAUGCCUGUGUCUGGCUCAUUUGAAUGGUGGUGACAGACCAGCUGGCAUGGGCCAGCUUGGAACAGGUGUUUGUCUUCUGUGGUCCUGGGCCAGGGAGUCCUUGACCAAGGUGCUGGUAGUUCCCAAGCCUGGGGAUGUCUCAGCGUGCAAGAUGGCAACUCUUGUUCUCACAGGGGUCCACCAUCUCCGUCUCCAUCUUAUAAGGGACAGGGGUGGGACUUCUCUUGGAUCAGGCCAGACCCUGUUCUUCCAGUACAGAAGGUAGAGGGAGCCUGUCUGGUGGGAGGGCCGGCAUUUCAGGGCUCCCCACCACCCUCCACACUGGACCUUAUAUGCAGACUUUCCAUUCUGACCAGGUCCAGGAAGACGUGUGGCUUAUCUGUGAGGAGACCCACAAUUCCAGGGAAAGACCUGCUCCCCUCUGUGCUCCUGUCAUGGAGCUGAGUGGAGACAAGCCAGAAAGAUGCUUCCUGCUGGAGGUAACCCUGAAAAGGCAAGGCUCCCCAUUGGGUUGGUCCCUGACCCUGCCUCCUGCAGACAGCAGCUUGUCCUGUCUGCCUUUUACCAUCCUGAGUUCUCCUCAUUUCUCUGGAAAGCCGUGGUGGGCCAAGGACAGGUGCCGCAGAAGGUGAGUGGAGGCUGAGUGUUGUCUCUCAUGUUCCUUCUGUCUCCAGCUGUGGUCCUUCCACUCCCCUCCAAAACUCUGCUUCAAGCCCCACUGAGCCUUAGACGUUAGUACUUAGGUGGGUCUCGGAGGGUCCUAAGGUUGGAGAUUCACCAUAGUCCUGGGUGACCGUACCCAGGUCCUUUCCCCCCAUCUUUUCUGCUGUGGUUUGGGGUAGGGACUCCCAGCCUCUGAAAUACACCAAUAGCGGCUGAUCUACCUGCCUCAGGCCUACUCACCCUCUACCCUACAUAACUGCCUGGGGUUCCGUGCAGGUAGGGCAAUGUGGGAGUGGGACUGGAAUGGGUGGGGGAAGGUGAGCUGGCCCAGGGUAGCAGGAGGCAGGUGGGGGUUCUUUCUCCUCACCCUACUUACAAUGCAAGGUGGGUGACUCCCUGUGUGACUAGGUUGCUAUGUAAUUUAUCAAACACCUGGAAAUUAAGAUAACUGGCCAGUGGCUUCCUCAGUCACAGGAUGCAGCUGGGAAAGGCACUGGAGCUUGUGGCCACAGCCUAGGGCAAAAUGCCUUGGGAGUGCUUCGUCAACACAGGUCAGGGGUGUGUGCAAUCCCUGGUCUGGAGUGGAGCUUGCAGAUUCUCACUGAUGGCCUGGGGAUCCUGCUUCAGGAAUCCCCAUAGGACUGGGGAGGGACUUUGCUUUUUUAAAGUGUUGACAUCAUCAGGGUUCUAACCCCAGAAACCAUGUCAGCUCCCAGAGCCCCUUGAGAAUGGGGGUGGGAUGGGUUAUAUGUCUCUGGCCUGAGGAGGGCUGUGGCCUUCACUCAGGACCAGGACGCUCUUUUCCUGGAUCACAGGGACCCUUGUCACCACCACCCCUUGGCGUGCACUUUCCUCCCCUCCUGUUCCCCCACCCCUCCACCAUGCCUGCCAUUACAUUAGCGAGCAUGAAAUAUUUACCUAACGUGGCUUUUUGCAAAUAUCCCUUCGGUUAUUGUCCCUUGGUUGGGAACAUAAAUUGUGUACCACAUGCAAGCUGAAAGGUUGGGUGUUAAAUAAUACAGUACGUGUGAGCCUGUGGGGGCCAGAUGCUGCCAGUGUGUGCAGCCUCCCGUGGACAGCCUAGCAGGCUGGAGGACCUAGACAUGGGAUGCUGGGGCCAGGAGUGAGCAGGCCCCCUUUAGCGGUGGAUGGUGGAAGCGACAUUUCCAAAGCUUCCCACUCAGAGGCAAACUGCGGAGACCCUGACUGACAAAGACGCUUGGGAAAUGGGCAUAAUCACUGUCUCAUGGGCCUCAGGCUGGAGAUGUACCCGGAGGAGUGUUUCCUACAGUUGGAGGGCUAGGAGGUGCCGUGUAUCUGAGAGACUUGUCGAUUCUAGACAGACCCAGAGCUCUGGAGAGCGCCUGGGCUGGCUUCUUCAGGGGGACAGAGAGGAAAAGCUCUCUAAGUGGAAGGAGACUCUUUAGCUGCGGUAAGAGCCUGGGACCUGAUGAGAGGCGACGGAUUCAAUCUUCCCUGCAUCCGUCACCUGGGACUCCAUCAGACGCAAACCGAUUAGGAAAAUUCCCAUUGAAAGCCUGGAGAAUAAUGGCCCGGAUCAUAGAAAACAUUUGGCCUGGAGGGAGGCUGAAAUCCCAUUUUCACCUAAGCUGCAGUCUUUAGGGAUCCCCCACCCCCACCCCAUGUUUGAUAACCUUACCUCCUCCCCAAGACCGAUCAUUAGACUAAUUAGUGGCUAAUCAAUGUUUAAUUAAAACCUAGCCAUCAAUUACAGGAAGUGCUGUGGCAACUGGAGAAUAAAAACGCAUUGCAGGAGGGACCUAGCUUCCCCAAGUGGGCCUGGUACCAGCCUGAGAGAACGCU